UACGGAGGGUGCAAACGUUGCUCGGAAUCAUUGGGCGUAAAGCGCACGUAGGCGGCUCGCUAAGUCGGAUGUGAAAGCCCCGGGCUCAACCCGGGAAGUGCAUACGAAACUGGCGAACUUGAAUAUGGAAGAGGGUCGCGGAAUUCCCGGUGUAGAGGUGAAAUUCGUAGAUAUCGGGAGGAACACCAGUGGCGAAGGCGGCGACCUGGGCCAAUAUUGACGCUGAGGCGCGAAAGCCAGGGGAGCAAACGGG
rnacentral:rRNA from 1 species